CAGUAGCCGCGGGAAUACGUAGGUGGCAAGCGUUGUCCGGAAUUAUUGGGCGUAAAGGGCUCGCAGGCGGUUUCUUAAGUCUGAUGUGAAAGCCCCCGGCUCAACCGGGGAGGGUCAUUGGAAACUGGGAAACUUGAGUGCAGAAGAGGAGAGUGGAAUUCCACGUGUAGCGGUGAAAUGCGUAGAGAUGUGGAGGAACACCAGUGGCGAAGGCGACUCUCUGGUCUGUAACUGACGCUGAGGAGCGAAAGCGUGGGGAGCGAACAGGAUUAGAGACCCCCGUAGUCCCUGUCUCUUAUAC
rnacentral:rRNA from 1 species